GACGAACGCUGGCGGCGUGCUUAACACAUGCAAGUCGAACGGAAAGGCUCCAGCUUGCUGGCGUACUCGAGUGGCGAACGGGUGAGUAACACGUGGGUAAUCUGCCCUGCACUCUGGGAUAAGCCUGGGAAACUGGGUCUAAUACUGGAUAUGACCUUUCUCCUUAUGGGGUUUGGUGGAAAGUUUUUCGGUGUAGGAUGAGCCCGCGGCCUAUCAGCUUGUUGGUGGGGUGAUGGCCUACCAAGGCGACGACGGGUAGCCGGCCUGAGAGGGUGAUCGGCCACAUUGGGACUGAGAUACGGCCCAGACUCCUACGGGAGGCAGCAGUGGGGAAUAUUGCACAAUGGGCGGAAGCCUGAUGCAGCGACGCCGCGUGAGGGAUGACGGCCUUCGGGUUGUAAACCUCUUUCAGCAGGGACGAAGCGUAAGUGACGGUACCUGCAGAAGAAGCACCGGCCAACUAUGUG
rnacentral:rRNA from 1 species